GGCUUCGUAGCUCAGCUGUUUGAGCACCCGUGGUACUAAGGCGAAGGUGGCAGCCACGCGUGGGUUCGAAUCCCAUUGAGGUCC
rnacentral:tRNA from 1 species